AAAAUAUUGAGAAAGUCCUGUAUUUUGUAGAAAGGUUUUCCAUUGUUUGAAAAAAAAAUAGAACUCACAGAAGCUUUUGUCCCCUGUUUCAGUCUAAGAGGGCAAAAUCCCAUCAGUUUAAAUGGUCUCAUGGUGACACUGAGCUGUGUUUGUUGGCCAGAGUAACAUUAAGUUAGAUUCCUAUAGUUCUCUGGAAAAUCAUGUGAAGUGAGACUUUGAUUGGAUGCUCUUUCCAGCCCCCUGCCCAGUAGUAGAGAUGACUGAGCUGUUUGGAGGUGGAUCUAUAUAGUGCAGCACAGUCAGGGAGGACAGAGUUGUAGGAGCUUCACUUUACAGAUGGGGAGGUGGAAAACCAAGGGACACAACUGCCCACGAAUGGGGAUCCCAAAAGGUAAUACUUCCUUUAAAGAGACAAGCAAGGGGAAGCAUGGUAUUAACUUUUGAUUUGUUUUGUAGUGAAGCUUUGAGUGUGACACAGGGAAUUCUCUUUGUCAACCUUCCCUUGAAUCAUACGGCUUUCUAGGCAGGGGCGUAUUAAUGGAGGGCACAUUUAUUGUUGAUAUGUAUAUCUGUUACUUGGAACUGGGUUGAGGGGCUAGAGUGGGUAUAUAAAAGUAGAAGUCGGGGUCUGGCUUUUGGGGAGAGAGCUUUCUUGACAACUUUUGAUACCCUUAGGCAGUUAUGAGACUAAGAACCUACCCUUAGCAGGUUUCUUUUAGGAAAAAUUUAAAAGCCAUUUAUCUUGGGAAGAGAAGUGAAAGAAUAUUGAUUAGGUAGAUGGGAAAUUAUAAUAAUCUUUUUUUCUCUUUAAAGAUACCAAACCUGGCUAAAAAACUUGAAGACAUUAAAAAGGACCUGGAUGCCAAGAAGAAACCCCCUAGUUCAUGAGGCCGACUCCAGCCCUGCCUUCUGGAUUCUACUAUUGUCGAGGGCCUCCUUUACUCUGAACCAAAAGCUUUUGUUUUAAUUUCCAGCCUCAGCAGUUUUCUUCAUUGUGUUGCCUUAGAGCACAAAUGGGGCCACAAGUUAAGAACUACCCUUAAUUUUCCAACAGCAUCACUUCUUCCCUUGCUCCUUCCAGCCACUUGGGAGGCCCUGAAACUGGAAUUAUGGUGCUAGAUUAGUAAACAUGACCUUUAAUUAGUAGUCUCUCCCUUUUUCUUUGGAAUUUCUAUUACCUUUUUUCAAAAGAAAAAUUGAUAAAUUUUGUAUAGCAGAUGAGAUAUAAAUAAUGCUGAUUUCACAUUCUAGCAAUUAUAUAAUGGGUAUUUAAACAUUCGGUACUUAAUUAUGUUAUUUCAAAAUAGUAGUUAAAAUCAAGAAGCCAGUUCCUGGUGAAUUAUCCAUUGUUGUCAGGAAGCUGCAUAGUUGCUAUUGUAACCACUAUAUCAAUUUGCUAUUCAUUAACCAAGAAACAGUGUUCUGAGAACCCUGAGAACUUACAAAUAUUUAAAAUAAUGGCCGUUGUCCUCAAUAGUAUUCCUAGUCUAAUAUUCAUGUUGUUUUUUAAUGAUGUGUUUGAUCUGGUUCUUUUCCCUCGUAAGAAUCAUACUUUAUGGGAUAACAGGUGCAUGUGACAUUACCUGGUGGAUAAAUGAGAAGUUGAUUAUAAGGGAAGUUUUAUGCCUUUUUAUAUUUAAAAAAUAUGUUUACAUUAUAACUUUAUAGUGAGCCCCUGAGUGAGUGGGUUAAGGAUCUGGCAUUGCUCAGUCUCAUAGGAAGCCUUUUUGUGUUUUUUUCCUGCAAUCAGAAAUUGCUCUCUUAGUUUGUCAAAUGUAUAAUCAGUCCACAUUUUUUUAAGUGAAAAAAAUUUAAAUAGGUAACUUCCCCUUGGGUCAGUACAAAAGUGAUUUAGAAUUAAGGACUUCUCCCACCCAUGUCCUGCAGCUCCUAAUUCCUCUUCCUGGAGUCAGGCACUGUUGCCAGUUUUUUUGAAAAAGAUUCUGUCCCUAAACAAACAUGUUCAUGAGGGUUAUUAUACAAAUGAUAACAAGCUAUAUACAGAAUUUUCCUCAGUGGAGAUCAUUCCAUAUCCGUAUGUAAGGAACAAAAAACCUCUUCCCCUUUUGUGACUGCAUAAGGUUCUGUUGAAUGAAUAUGCUGCAGUUGAUUUAGUCAGCUCCUGGUGAACAUUUAGGUUGUUUCCUGUCUUUUGUUAUUAUGGUGAUAACCUUAAACCUAAUAUUGUUAUGCAUAUCUAUGCCAGGGAUAGCGCCAAGCUAAAGCCCUAGAAGUGUACUUUACCCUGUAGUUUCUAGGGCUUUACCAAGCUAAAGCCCUCGAAGUAUAGUUUGUUGGGUAUCAGCUUCACUGAUAAUGCCAUUCCUGGAAACAUUUUAGCAGAAUUAGUAAACUGGAAGGAUGAUUUUAGAGACACCUUUUUUUCAGACACUGAUGGCACUGACAGUAAAUGUGAUUAUACAGUGAGGUGAUUCUACUUUUCUUUGAAAACAUGGAUCUUUCAAACAUGGAGAUACAUUUUGUCCCUGUCAGGUUGUCCUGGUUCGUGAGACAAAUUAGGACCUUAUUAUAGUUUGUCUUCUCCUCAGACAGAGUGUGAUCAGGGGCAAGUGGCUUAUUUCUCCAAAACUGUUGUUUUCUCUUUAAGAUGUGGAUGCAGUACCUACCUCAUAGGGCUUCCAUGAGAAACUGUUGAGAUAACAUACGUGGUGUGUAGCACAGUGCUUUGCAGAUUGUCCAAUAAAUAGUAGAUAUUAGUUGGAACGUGCUGCCUUUGGUCAGAAUACUUUUUUCUGCACUCACUUCUGGAACCAGUUUAUGAACCAUGCAAAAUGUGUCAUUCUCUUUGUAAAAUGAAAAUCUGUAGUAUCCACUGUGAUCAUACCACCUGGCUUACCAGGUUUGAUCUUAAAUGACUGAAUUGUUAGCAGAAUGAACUACAGCCUUGAAGGAUAAUGGUUUACCAUCUUGAUAGGUAUUCAAACUUUCACAAGCUUAGAAAGCUGUUUUCAAAGAGGGAUUCAUUGUUAUCAGCCAUGGAGCCUUGAUGCUUGUGUGUAUGGUCUCCCAGGUGGCUUCUUUGGGGAUGUGAGUCACUUAGAUGUUGCAUGAUGAGGUCUCUAUAAUUGUACUUGUAAAUGAGGCACGAUUGGACUUGGAGCUUCCCCUCGGGAGUGACACUUAACCUUGCUGACGGGAUCAUCUCCACCAGUGGGAGCCACCCAGCUAAUCACCUUAAACGUGUGAACAGCAACACAAAGAGUGCAGGCCAACUUCAUGGUCACCAUUCAGAUUCCCUCUCCCAUUUCAGGCUCUUGUAGGAGUGAAAGGGAUCUGGAGUUCUCAGGCAGGAUUAUCUUCACGGAGACAUAUUGUUGGGGGACCUAGAACCAUUAUGGGUUUUAGGCGGUGUGGUGGUUGUGAUCGUGGUACUCAAAGUUAACAUUCUCUGGGUGUUUGGUAGAGGUCCCUGCAGAGGGGUGGGAAGAACUACUGCAAGACAUGCCUUUUUUUUUUUCCUUUAAAAAAAUCUUGAGGAGUUCCUGUUGUGGCACAGUGGAAAUGAAUGCGACUAGUAUCCAUGAGGAUGCGGGUUUGAUCCUUGGCCUCCCUCAGUGGGUUAAGGAUCUGACAUUGCUGUGGGCUGUGGUGUGGGUUGCAGAUGUGGCUCGGACCCACUGUUGCUAUGGCUGUGGCAUAGGCCAGCAGCUGCAGCUCCUAGUGGACCCCCAGCCUGGGAACUUCCAUAUGCUGCCGAUGCAGCCCAAAAAG
ensembl:lncRNA